GAAGUCAAAGUCCUUCCCUCUGUGUGUGGACUUCAGUGGAACUCUCAGGUCACAGAGAUUCAGGGUGGUCAGAGGCGGUUUGAUGUUUUGGGGAGAAAGAACAGCCGUGAAGGAUUCUGUGAUGCAGGAGAAGGUGGGAGGCCUCAGGACAGAAUCAGCAGGUCACCAUGCUUUCCUGCGUCAUCCACCUGUGGGCCUCUAAUGUGUUUCUAUGAAGUUUGCAUUAAAGUUUCAGCCACUAUUUUUCAGAAACAUGGUCAACCUCUCCUUCCCUCCUCUAUCUGCUGAUAGAGUUCUACAGAAAACAAGGGAAUGACUUGAGGAGGUGAGGGGGAUUCUGAAGGUUGUUGGUGGAUUCCUAGAAUGUAGCCCGCAGAACUGUGCCUGGAACGAUACCGGAUCACUGCAAAAGUACAGCGAACAGGGUCGCUUUGAAUAUUAAAGGAGGACUUUUUCAAAGUGUAUAGAGAGCAGUCAAAAGAUCGCCACAGUUGCUCUGUGUUUUCGUGAGCCAGCUUUCUCGGAAGGACUAAGCCAGUGGAUCACAAACAUCCUGGAGAGCAGUGACUCUGUGAUUCCAUCACAAGAAUAUGAAGGACUGAGAAGAUCUCCAGCUCUGCCCAUUGCACCUUCCCAUUGAGAAGCAGCAUGGCACCCUGGUGGCAGGGGCUGAUACUCAGCCGGGCCAGGGUGCUCUCCUGUUAACCAUAACCAAGCUCACAGGACAUGGGAUGAGCCCACUGUGUGACACAGGGAGCGGGACACAGUCUGUUAAGUCUUGCACAGCCAUGCUCUGCCACGCAGGCAGGCCUUUCCUUGGCCUCCCUCUCCCUGUUCGUGCUCAUGUGAACAUCCACCUACGUGGAUAGACUGGGCUUUGGUUCAUUAUUGCUCUGUGAAUUCCUCGAACUUCCGCAUCUGCCCAACCUCCCCCACCCCAUUGUUUUCAUUGUGUUUCACCAAAUGGAAAUUCUAGAGUAAGCAUGUGAGUCCUCUCCCAAACUUGUUCACUGUUGAGAGUGCUAAAAUGCUAACCCCAGAUGCUAACUGAGGGGUAGGGUUACCUUAUCUUUAGAGCACUGCGAAUUGUAUGUUAAGUGGAACUUAAUGAAAAAAUAGUUAAUUGACCAACAUGAAUAUCCCCUGAACAGAAUCUCCCCUGAACAGAAUCCUACAAUGAAACUAAGGGAGAUAAAUAAAGCUGUUUACCUGAAAGCUCUCUCUAAUCAAGAUCCUUUGAAAUUUAUAAAACAUGGUCAAUAUUUGCACUGGACUUUGUAAAAAUAAAGCUUGAUAAGAGAAGA
rnacentral:lncRNA from 1 species